UACGGGGGGGAGCAAGCGUUGUUCGGAUUUACUGGGCGUAAAGGGCGCGUAGGCGGUCGUGACAAGUCACUUGUGAAAUCUCCGGGCUUAACUCGGAACGGUCAAGUGAUACUGUCGGACUAGAGUACAGAAGGGGCAACUGGAAUUCUCGGUGUAGCGGUGAAAUGCGUAGAUAUCGAGAGGAACACCUGCGGCGAAGGCGGGUUGCUGGGCCGACACUGACGCUGAGGCGCGAAAGCUAGGGGAGCGAACGGGG
rnacentral:rRNA from 1 species